rnacentral:rRNA from 1 species
UGGGGAAUAUUGCACAAUGGGCGCAAGCCUGAUGCAGCCAUGCCGCGUGUAUGAAGAAGGCCUUCGGGUUGUAAAGUACUUUCAGCGGGGAGGAAGGGAGUAAAGUUAAUACCUUUGCUCAUUGACGUUACCCGCAGAAGAAGCACCGGCUAACUCCGUGCCAGCAGCAGCGGUAAUACGGAGGGUGCAAGCGUUAAUCGGAAUUACUGGGCGUAAAGCGCACGCAGGCGGUUUGUUAAGUCAGAUGUGAAAUCCCCGGGCUCAACCUGGGAACUGCAUCUGAUACUGGCAAGCUUGAGUCUCGUAGAGGGGGGUAGAAUUCCAGGUGUAGCGGUGAAAUGCGUAGAGAUCUGGAGGAAUACCGGUGGCGAAGGCGGCCCCCUGGACGAAGACUGACGCUCAGGUGCGAAAGCGUGGGGAGCAAACAGG